AUUGAACGCUGGCGGCAGGCCUAACACAUGCAAGUCGAGCGGAUGAAGGGAGCUUGCUCCUGGAUUCAGCGGCGGACGGGUGAGUAAUGCCUAGGAAUCUGCCUGGUAGUGGGGGAUAACGUCCGGAAACGGGCGCUAAUACCGCAUACGACCUGAGGGAGAAAGUGGGGGAUCUUCGGACCUCACGCUCUCAGAUGAGCCUAGGUCGGAUUAGUUAGUUGGUGGGGUAAAGGCCUACCAAGGCGACGAUCCGUAACUGGUCUGAGAGGAUGAUCAGUCACACUGGAACUGAGACACGGUCCAGACUCCUACGGGAGGCAGCAGUGGGGAAUAUUGGACAAUGGGCGAAAGCCUGAUCCAGCCAUGCCGCGUGUGUGAAGAAGGUCUUCGGAUUGUAAAGCACUUUAAGUUGGGAGGAAGGGCAGUAAGUUAAUACCUUGCUGUUUUGACGUUACCAACAGAAUAAGCACCGGCUAACUUCGUG
rnacentral:rRNA from 1 species